AUUGAACGCUGGCGGCAUGCCUUACACAUGCAAGUCGAACGGCAGCAUAGGAGCUUGCUCCUGAUGGCGAGUGGCGAACGGGUGAGUAAUAUAUCGGAACGUGCCCUAGAGUGGGGGAUAACUAGUCGAAAGACUAGCUAAUACCGCAUACGAUCUACGGAUGAAAGUGGGGGAUCGCAAGACCUCAUGCUCCUGGAGCGGCCGAUAUCUGAUUAGCUAGUUGGUGGGGUAAAAGCCUAACAAGGCGACGAUCAGUAGCAGGUCUGAGAGGACGACCAACCACACUGGGACUGAGACACGGCCCAGACUCCUACGGGAGGCAGCAGUGGGGAAUUUUGGACAAUGGGGGCAACCCUGAUCCAGCAAUGCCGCGUGAGUGAAGAAGGCCUUCGGGUUGUAAAGCUCUUUUGUCAGGGAAGAAACGGUAGUAGCUAAUAUCUAUUACUAAUGACGGUACCUGAAGAAUAAGCACCGGCUAACUACGUGCCAGCAGCCGCCGCAG
rnacentral:rRNA from 1 species